UGGGGAAUUUUCCACAAUGGGCGAAAGCCUGAUGGAGCAAUACCGCGUGGGUGAUGAAGGUUCGUGGACUGUAAAGCCCUUUUCUCAAGGAAGAAUAACUGACGGUACUUGAGGAAUAAGCACCGGCUAACUCUGUGCCAGCAGCCGCGGUAAUACAGGGGGUGCAAGCGUUGUCCGGAAUGAUUGGGCGUAAAGCAUUCGUAGGUGGUUCUUAAAGUCAACUGUUAAAUCCCAGAGCUCAACUUUGGUCAAGCAGUUGAGUACUUAGGGACUUGAGUAUGGUAGGGGCAGAGGGAAUUCCUAGUGGAGCGGUGAAAUGCACAGAGAUUAGGAAGAACACCAGUGGCGAAAGCGCUCUGCUGGGCCAUGACUGACACUGAGGGAUGAAAGUUAGGGGAGC
rnacentral:rRNA from 1 species